rnacentral:lncRNA from 1 species
AACAUGGGAGUUGAAACCCUCUUUAAAAGCAGCAAUGAUCAGGAAUUAUUGGGAAAAUAUGUAAUAACAUGUUAUAAAUUCUUUAAAGGUUAUUUUCCCAAACUUGAUCAACUUUUAGUUAAAUUGGCCUGCUCAACUAUAAAUCCCCACCCUCAUUCGUUAAAAACUUGAAGUCAGAGCAAUGUAGUAUUUAAUUUAGAGCUGGCAGAGAGCUUAGAAAUCAUCUAUUUAAAACUCCUUUUUAUGGUUGGGGAAACUGAAGGCCAAAGUGGUUGUGCCUUUCCCCAGUCUAGCUGAGGGCUUUUGUUAAAAAGAAAAUAGUUCCAAAAUGUAGAAGGAUAUAUCUCUUCAGAAAUAUGAUGAAGAACUUUAGAUACCUCUUUGCAUAUUUGAGCCUAAGAGUUCGUUGGUUGUUUUUGUUUGUUUUUGUUUUAUUUUUUGUCUUUUUAGGGCCACACCCAUGGCAUAUGGAGGUUCCCAGGCUAGGGGUCAAAUUGGAGCUACAGCUGCUGGCCUAUACCACAGCCACAGCCACAGCCACAGCAAUGCCAGAUCCAAGCCUCAUCUGCACCUACACCACAGCUACGGCAAUGCCAGGUCCUCAGCCCAUUGAGCAAGGCCAGGGAUCGAACCCGCAUCCUCAUGAAUACCAGUGGGGCUCGUUACCGCUGAGCCACGACAGGAACUCCUGAGCCUAAGAGUUUUUAAUCAGACCCAGGAAUAACUUAGAUUCACUCAUGUGUGUCCAAUGGGCCUUAAGGGCAGUCGGUGCUGUGUUCCACCCCAUCUCUCUCUCUCCUAGGUACCUCCAAAAAUGCUUCCUGGAUCUGAGAACUGCACUAUUUCAUCUGUUUGCCCUUUCCUUUUUAAAAAGUGGGGUUGGAAUUUACUUUGGGGGUUUAGUUAUAGUUCUCUUUAUGAUAAAGACGAGUACAAAUGACUGCUGGGUUUUGAGUUUUUAGUUGGUCAGUAUGUCAUAUAAUAUGUAAAGAAAUGAAAUAGAAUAAGUCAAGGAAAGUGUAUUAAUCAUGCAACUGGCUGGCAGCAUUAGUGGUUUUCACGUUUUAUCUGAACUUUGUCAAGUGUUUUAUAGUUUUUCAGAAGGAUCGAAUGUUUUGUUUUGUCUUGUUUCUCUUUUUUUAACUUUGCUUAGGUUUUAAAAGAUAAAGACAUAUUUUUCUUAAUCACACCAGACACAACCAACAGAGUGGGCUUGAUAUGGGCUUAUAAUGGCGCAAAAGGUAAAAAGGUACCUUGGAGACUCUGUACUAUUUGUUCACUAAGUUUCAAAAAAUUAGGACUAUUACCUUAAUACUUUACAAUGAGGAAACUUCCUGUUAAGAUCAGGGCUCAUGGGCAAAAACAUCCACCUAGAAUCUUCUUCGAACUUGGGCUUGUUUUUGAGCUGUGUCAGAGGUUUUACUUCUUGAGUACUUUUCAGCGGAGUAUUUGAUUUUUGUAAAAUGCCAAAUUUUGUGUGUAUGUGUUUUUUUUUUCCCUGGAGAAGGGGGUUCAUAACAUCAACAGGAUUCUCAAAGGUGAAAUAUGGUGACUUAUGAAAAGGCAGACAAUUCUGUUGUCAUUCUCUUUUUGAACAAGUCCUUCAGAAUGACAGAGUGACAGGUGGAUGUUACCUGCAUUUGUGAUUUGCUCAAUGAUAUGGAAAGUAUUCAAAUUCCUUGGUUGCCUUUG